rnacentral:rRNA from 1 species
CCUACGGGAGGCAGCAGUGGGGAAUAUUGCGCAAUGGGGGAAACCCUGACGCAGCAACGCCGCGUGAGUGAGGAAGGACUUCGGUCUGUAAAGCUCUGUUAAUGUGGAAAAAUGGUAGCUGGUCUAAUAGGCCGGCUAUUUGAUGGUACACAUAGAGGAAGCACCGGCUAACUUCGUGCCAGCAGCCGCGGUAAU